rnacentral:rRNA from 1 species
AACGAACGCCGGCGGCAGGCCUAACACAUGCAAGUCGAGCGAGGACUUCGGUUCUAGCGGCGGACGGGUGAGUAACGCGUGGGAAUGUGCCCUUCUCUACGGAAUAGCCCUGGGAAACUGGGAGUAAUACCGUAUACGCCCUAUUGGGGAAAGAUUUAUCGGAGAAGGAUCAGCCCGCGUUGGAUUAGGUAGUUGGUGGGGUAAUGGCCUACCAAGCCGACGAUCCAUAGCUGGUUUGAGAGGAUGAUCAGCCACACUGGGACUGAGACACGGCCCAGACUCCUACGGGAGGCAGCAGUGGGGAAUCUUAGACAAUGGGGGCAACCCUGAUCUAGCCAUGCCGCGUGAGUGAUGAAGGCCUUAGGGUUGUAAAGCUCUUUCAGCGGGGAAGAUAAUGACGGUACCAGCAGAAGAAGCCCCGGCUAACUCCGU